UACAUCGGUGACAGGUGGUGGCAUGGUUGUCGUCAGCUCGUGUCGUGAGAUGUUGGUUAAGUCCCGCAACGAGCGCAACCCCUAUUGUUAGUUGCCAUCAUUCAGUUGGGCACUCUAGCGAGACUGCCGGUAAUAAACCGGAGGAAGGUGGGGAUGACGUCAAAUCAUCAUGCCCCUUAUGACCUGGGCUACACACGUGCUACAAUGGUUGGUACAACGAGUUGCGAGUCGGUGACGGCGAGCUAAUCUCUUAAAGCCAAUCUCAGUUCGGAUUGUAGGCUGCAACUCGCCUACAUGAAGUCGGAAUCGCUAGUAAUCGCGGAUCAGCACGCCGCGGUGAAUACGUUCCCGGGCCUU
rnacentral:rRNA from 1 species